UACGUAGGGGCAAGCGUUGUCCGGAUUAUUGGGCGUAAAGAGCGUGUAGGCGGUUUGGUAGGUCCGUUGUGAAAACUCGAGGCUCAACCUCGAGACGCCGGCGGAAACCAUCAGGCUAGAGUCCGGAAGAGGAGAGUGGAAUUCCUGGUGUAGCGGUGAAAUGCGCAGAUAUCAGGAAGAACACCCGUGGCUAAGGCGGCUCUCUAGUACGGUACUGACGCUGAGACGCGAAAGCGUGGGGAGCGAACAGG
rnacentral:rRNA from 1 species